AUGAUUAGGGGAAUAACCUUGCAUUAUGUCUGGCCCAAGUUCUCUACAGGUUCUUCUCUAUCUCACACCUUCUCUCUUUCAGCCUUCAUAUGUAAUAAAAACACCAAAAUAAAGAAUAUUUUAAGUAAGAACAUGCCAAGGUUUAAAUAUAUACAUGAUCCGGGUUAUCGAUGUCGAAGAAAUUGUAUCAACUCUUAUUUGUUUAUUUUUUUGCCCCAAGUGUUUAUCUUAUACACUAGUAUAUGA